CCUUCUUUCUACAUACCCUUUCAAAAUCAAUUUCAAGUCAGUCAUAAGACCAGGAGCAAAUGCUCUAAUCUCAAACCCAUGAGACCCACAGAGGCCUUUGAAAUGUAUAGACAUCCAUGUGCUAUCAAACACCCAAUCCACAUGGACCUGGAACAUCAAGAAAAUAUCCAUCAUGAUUUAGCCUAAUCAUGGUAACCCGCAAUUAUGCUCAUUACCAGUUAAUACUUCACAGAGAUCAUCACCUUCAACCCACGGCAACUUCCAUAUUUACCAGUCAUAUUUGACAAUUGUGAUGUCCAAAUUUUAAGAGAUUUUAUAUUCUUUUGUGGUCAGAUAGCAGAUAUAAAACUAGAGGAAGUUGCUAGAGUAUAUUACUUAUGCCACUUAUCUUAUUUACAUACCCACAUACUUUUUUAGUACACUGCCAUUUUUGUGUCCCCUGUGACACAAUAAAUUCUCCCAUCAGAUAGUUUGGAAAUUAGUUGAGUCAAGCAACCACCUAACUAAAAGAUCUAGCUAUUAGCAUGAAAUCUAAAUUAGUAACAAAGCAACUUCAUUUUUCUGUUUGGUCAUUGAACAUAAGGAAAGAUGCAAAAUCACAUCAGCCUAUCCUAGGCACAAGGUCCUACAAUUCUUAAGCAAUAGGACCAAGGCAACUUGGCUCCAUAAGCCUCCACACCAUGCAUGUCAUGUCACAGGUAUUAACAACAUCAUCACACGUAUGAAUGCUUCGAAAUCUUUGAGGACAUUUGAGGGAUUUGAACCUAGAACCAUCUUCAAAGAGAUAAGGUACCCACUGCAGGGGCCAUGCCCAGGUUGGCAGCAAAGUCAUGUCAUGUGCAAUAAAUGAGCAAUUUUAACAGUAAAACAAUGUCAACUCAACUAACUUCUCAUACUUCUUGCAAUUGUGUCAUAAUAACUUUACUGGAUUAUAUCAACCUCUAACAGAAUCUAUUAAGUCAUACAGACUGUACAUUAAGUGUAAACAAACCUACAGAAAACCACUGUGUUCAUUCCAGCAAACUCAGAACAAUCCCACUAUGCCUCAAAUUCCCUUCACAGCACAUACAGAUAUAAUUAAUAGGAAGUAAAGUAAAAACAAUAUUGAAAGGAGAGUUGACCAUUUAGUUAAUGAUUUUCUUUUUGUUUUUUAAAUAGAAAAUGAUGAAUCUAAAGUUUCUUCAAUUCAGAUCAAUAUCUAUUAUCAAAUAAUGCAUAAACCAAUGCUAGAAUUGAACCAAGAUUGUGUAAGUAUAAAAAAAAGAGUUUGCCCAAUUCUCUUCACUGAAAUAUUAAAACAUUCUGAUAAACUUAAACGGAAUGGAUUGAAUAUUCGUAUAAUCUAACCUAGAAACAUAUUAUUUCACAUGUUCCCAUUAUUCAUGAGCUAGACUUGGCUACACUUGAGUGGAUCUCUAUUUAGAUCCGGUCAGGUCUACAUUGGACAAUGGGGAUCUUGAAUUAAUGAUCCGAAAUAUGGUACAUGAUCUAUUACCUCUAAACUGCUUACAUACCAAAAAUCAUAUAAUUUGAAGACCCCUAACCUAUGCAUCUGAAAUUAAAUUAUAUCUAAUUUUUGAUCACUUGAUGGCUAAAGAUCUCCAAAUCAUAUGAUUUUUGAUAUGUAAGUAGUUUAAAGAUAGUACAUCACAUCCAAUAGCUCAGAUCAACGAUUUGGGACCGUUAUUGUCCAACGUCAGAUCUCGCCAAGUCCAGCUCCAUUAUUCAUACUAUAUAAUUUUCUACUAAGCACAAAUUUCUCAUCAAAAGAAAGCACAAAACUUUAUGACUUGCCAAAUAAUUGUCUGAAGGGGAUUAAAAAAAAUUAUACAAACUCAAAUAUGAACAUCUCAAAAUCAUAUCUUAGACAAACAGAGGCUGAUCGAACAACUCGAAAAAACCCAGCCAAAGAUGUCCAAAAAUAGGUGAAGAACACAUCUUUAACCACCCUGACACCAACUCACCAACCGUAACCAUAAAAUGUAACGGCAUACCCUCAGAAAAAUCACAAACUCACACCAACCGCAGCAAGCAAAACAGCACAAGACCAAAUAAAACCAACAGCUGAAUCCCAAAAAAAAAAAAGAAAAAGAAAAAAGAAAGAAGCGGCAGGCUAAUAACUUCACGAUUACAAGACAAGGGAUCAGAAAUUCGCACGCAAACACGAACAGCCGGGAAAUCAAAGCAGAGCAAUCGCUAACUACAUGAUUCAAUCGAGAGAAUUUGCGAUCCCCUUACCCUAAUUUGGUCGAAGUACGGGGAUUGGAAGUGAGCGGGGGAGCAUGUACUUACCAAGGGGAAGCCAAUAGAGCAGCUUGGGAGCAAGACACAGGAUUUGGAGGAAUGAGAGGAGAGCGUAGAACAAAAACAGUUCCAGCUUUCUGCGCCGAGAACUGGGGGGUUUUAAGUGUGAAUGGGGAAG
rnacentral:lncRNA from 1 species